CAUGCCCCGUUUUUCUUCUAAUGUAACGGAUUGGAUGCAGGACCUGACUGUCUGGAUCUGAAUCCCACCCCUCCUGCUUACUGGAGCUGUGAUUUCAUGCAAGUGACUCACCUUGUGCCCCAUCUCCUCAACCACAAAAUACGAAGAAUAAUAACCCCAGCCUCAGAGGGUUGUCCUGGGGACUGAGUUAAUCAGUGUUUGGAAAGCGCUGAGCACGGGUGCCUUGCAUAUGAAAGACUGUUGGCCCUGCAGUGACAUAAGUACUAUGCAUUUCAUUGGCUUCAAGAAAUAGCAGCCACCCUGUUCGCCUGCCACCCGACUUAGACGUCAGCCUCAUCUCUAACCAGUCCCCUCUGUUACCUGCACUCAGUCGUCAGGUCCUGUAAGGCUCCCUUCACCAUGUCUUUUCCAGAUGUCC